AACGAACGCUGGCGGCAUGCCUAACACAUGCAAGUCGAACGAGACCUUCGGGUCUAGUGGCGCACGGGUGCGUAACGCGUGGGAACCUGCCCUUAGGUUCGGAAUAACUCCCCGAAAGGGGUGCUAAUACCGGAUAAUGUCUUCGGACCAAAGAUUUAUCGCCUUUGGAUGGGCCCGCGUUGGAUUAGCUAGUUGGUAGUGUAAAAGCCUACCAAGGCGACGAUCCAUAGCUGGUCUGAGAGGAUGAUCAGCCACACUGGGACUGAGACACGGCCCAGACUCCUACGGGAGGGAGCAGUGGGGAAUAUUGGACAAUGGGCGAAAGCCUGAUACAGCAAUGCCGCGUGAGUGAUGAAGGCCUUAGGGUUGUAAAGCUCUUUUACCCGGGAUGAUAAUGACAGUACCGGGAGAAUAAGCGCCGGCUAACUCCGUG
rnacentral:rRNA from 1 species